ACGCUGGCGGCGUGCCUAACACAUGCAAGUCGAACGGGAAUCUUCGGAUUCUAGUGGCGGACGGGUGAGUAACGCGUAAGAAUCUAACUUCAGGACGGGGACAACAGUUGGAAACGACUGCUAAUACCCGAUGUGCCGAAAGGUGAAACCUAAUUGGCCUGAAGAAGAGCUUGCGUCUGAUUAGCUAGUUGGUGGGGUAAAGGCCUACCAAGGCGACGAUCAGUAGCUGGUCUGAGAGGAUGAGCAGCCACACUGGGACUGAGACACGGCCCAGACUCCUACGGGAGGCAGCAGUGGGGAAUUUUCCGCAAUGGGCGAAAGCCUGACGGAGCAACGCCGCGUGAGGGAGGAAGGUCUUUGGAUUGUAAACCUCUUUUCUCAAGGAAGAAGUUCUGACGGUACUUGAGGAAUCAGCCUCGGCUAACUCCGUGCCAGCAGCCGCGGUAAUACGGGGGAGGCAAGCGUUAUCCGGAAUUAUUGGGCGUAAAGCGUCCGCAGGUGGUCAGCCAAGUCUGCCGUCAAAUCAGGUUGCUUAACGACCUAAAGGCGGUGGAAACUGGCAGACUAGAGAGCAGUAGGGGUAGCAGGAAUUCCCAGUGUAGCGGUGAAAUGCGUAGAGAUUGGGAAGAACAUCGGUGGCGAAAGCGUGCUACUGGGCUGUAUCUGACACUCAGGGACGAAAGCUAGGGGAGCGAAAGGGAUUAGAUACC
rnacentral:rRNA from 2 species